UACGUAGGGUGCGAGCGUUAAUCGGAAUUACUGGGCGUAAAGCGUGCGCAGGCGGUUUUGUAAGCCAGAUGUGAAAUCCCCGGGCUUAACCUGGGAAUGGCAUUUGGGACUGCAAGGCUGGAGUGCGGCAGAGGAGACUGGAAUUCCUGGUGUAGCAGUGAAAUGCGUAGAGAUCGGGAGGAACAUCUGUGGCGAAGGCGGCCAUCUGGACCAGCACUGACACUGAGGCACGAAAGCGUGGGGAGCAAACAGG
rnacentral:rRNA from 1 species